rnacentral:misc_RNA from 1 species
GGCAGAGCAAUAUCAUAGACUAUACAAGGAACCAAUUCCCGUCACCCAACUUGUGAGGGAAACAGCAGCUGUAAUGCAGGAGUUCACCCAAUCUGGUGGUGUAAGGCCCUUUGGAGUAUCUCUGCUGGUUGCCGGGUUUGAUGAUAAUGGUCCUCAAUUGUACCAGGUGGAUCCAUCUGGCUCAUAUUUCUCUUGGAAAGCCUCUGCAAUGGGGAAGAAUGUUUCUAACGCCAAAACAUUCCUAGAAAAAAGGUAUACCGAUGAUAUGGAGCUU